GAUUUACUCCCUCCAUCCCAAUAUGUAGCAACCUAGGAUGGGUCUAGGACUACGAAUCUGGACAUACCUAUGUCCAGAUUCGUAGUCCUAGACCCAUCCUAGGUUGCUACAUAUUGGGACGGAGGGAGUAAACA
rfam:Oryza punctata chromosome 5, whole genome shotgun sequence.